ACACUGAAUCGGAAAUGUGAAGCCCAAGGGUCAGAGAAUGCAGCCUUUAAAGAGUACAGAUUCCAAAUAGACAAAGCAAAAUGGAGCUUCCUCAACACCUCCAAGUCUGAUGUUGGUGGAGGGGAAGCAAAAGAGAGAACCGACGCAGGGGUCGCCAGGCCUCUCCCGGGAGCCAUCAGGCCACCUCCAGUGCACCGAGGCCCUGCCUGGCCCACCUUGCCAGGGGAAGCCUGCUGAGGCACAAAGCAUACGAAGCUUUUGGUUGACAAAAACGGAAACCAGGAGUCUCCAUGGAGUACUCCUCAGGGACUGCAGCUGGAAAGUCAAGACAAAGAUGUGUGCUGGAGAAUAGUAAAAAAUGCAUACAAAUUCUCCAAGCACCAGGAGAGUGCCUCUUUCUUUAGCAGCCUGGAAUCAUCUAUGCCUGGAAACAUCGAUGUCUUCUGGCCAGACAAAGGCCAAGGAGUGAAAGGCGCUAUGCCCAGCAAGAAAAACAUACAAGUGGUGAAAGUGCCUGUGCAGGGGGUCAGGGUCUGGGUCCGAAUGUCCAAACCUCAGCAUCGUUACAGGAGGUUCAAAGUGCCUUUUCCUCUGACUCAGAAGCACCUGGUAUUAAAGAAUUCCAUGCUGCGGAGGCUAUGCUCCACGCAAGAGCUAGAACAGCAUUUUAGUGUGGAAACUAAAUGGAAUGAAGGCGCAAAUGCUGUUGAGGAGACAGUUGCCCUGGGCCAGGUCCUAGCCUCACCUUCCAGCUGCAAGAAUUUGCUUGAGCUUUCUACGCUUCUGCACCCUCAUCUAUAAAGUGAACAGAAUGACAGUGCCCCAUAAUGACAGCUUUGAUAAGGAUUAAAUGAAAUUAAGUAUGUAAAAUGUUUAAUACAGUGCCUAGUAAAUUCUUAAUAAAUAAAUGGAUGACAGUGAA
rnacentral:sRNA from 1 species